rnacentral:rRNA from 1 species
UACGUAGGGGGCUAGCGUUGUCCGGAUUUAUUGGGCGUAAAGAGCGUGUAGGCGGCCAGGUAGGUCCGCUGUGAAAGUCCGAGGCUCAACCUCGGAAUGUCGGCGGAAACCCUCUGGCUAGAGUCCGGAAGAGGAGAGUGGAAUUCCCGGUGUAGCGGUGAAAUGCGCAGAUAUCAGGAAGAACACCUAUGGCGAAGGCAGCUCUCUGGGACGGUACUGACGCUGAGACGCGAAAGCGUGGGGAGCGAACAGG